rnacentral:rRNA from 1 species
GGAGGGGGUUUAGCGUUGUUCGGAAUUACUGGGCGUAAAGCGCACGUAGGCGGACCAGAAAGUUGGGGGUGAAAUCCCGGGGCUCAACCCCGGAACUGCCUCCAAAACUAUUGGUCUAGAGUUCGAGAGAGGUGAGUGGAAUUCCGAGUGUAGAGGUGAAAUUCGUAGAUAUUCGGAGGAACACCAGUGGCGAAGGCGGCUCACUGGCUCGAUACUGACGCUGAGGUGCGAAAGUGUGGGGAGCAAACAGGAUUAGAUACCCUGGUAGUCCACACCGUAAACGAUGAAUGCCAGUCGUCGGGUUGCAUGCAAUUCGGUGACCACACCUAACGGAUUAAGCAUUCCGCCUGGGGGAGUACGGUCGCAAGAUUA